UGGGGAAUAUUGCACAAUGGGCGCAAGCCUGAUGCAGCGACGCCGCGUGGAGGAUGACGGCCUUCGGGUUGUAAACUCCUUUCGCUAGGGACGAAGCUUUUUGUGACGGUACCUAGAUAAGAAGCACCGGCUAACUACGUGCCAGCAGCCGCGGUAAUACGUAGGGUGCGAGCGUUGUCCGGAAUUACUGGGCGUAAAGGGCUCGUAGGUGGUUUGUCGCGUCGUCUGUGAAAUUCCGGGGCUUAACUCCGGGCGUGCAGGCGAUACGGGCAUAACUUGAGUACUGUAGGGGUAACUGGAAUUCCUGGUGUAGCGGUGAAAUGCGCAGAUAUCAGGAGGAACACCGAUGGCGAAGGCAGGUUACUGGGCAGUUACUGACGCUGAGGAGCGAAAGCAUGGGUAGCGAACAGG
rnacentral:rRNA from 1 species